rnacentral:rRNA from 1 species
ACGGGGCCCGCACAGGCGGUGGAGCAUGUGGUUUAAUUCGAAGCAACGCGAAGAACCUUACCAGGUCUUGACAUCCCCUGACAACCCGAGAGAUCGGGCGUUCCCCUUCGGGGGACAGGGUGACAGGUGGUGCAUGGUUGUCGUCAGCUCGUGUCGUGAGAUGUUGGGUUAAGUCCCGCAACGAGCGCAACCCUCGACCUUAGUUGCCAGCAUUCAGUUGGGCACUCUAAGGUGACUGCCGGCUAAAAGUCGGAGGAAGGUGGGGAUGACGUCAAAUCAUCAUGCCCCUUAUGACCUGGGCUACACACGUGCUACAAUGGGCGGUACAAAGGGUCGCGAACCCGCGAGGGGGAGCCAAUCCCAAAAAGCCGCUCCCAGUUCGGAUUGCAGGCUGCAACUCGCCUGCAUGAAGCCGGAAUCGCUAGUAAUCGCGGAUCAGCAUGCCGCGGUGAAUACGUUCCCGGGCCUU